GACGAACGCUGGCGGCGUGCUUAACACAUGCAAGUCGAACGAUGAAGCCGGAGCUUGCUCCGGUGGAUUAGUGGCGAACGGGUGAGUAACACGUGAGCAAUCUGCCCUUGACUCUGGGAUAACUGCGGGAAACUGUAGCUAAUACCGGAUACGACACCUUGGGGCAUCCCAGGGCGUGGAAAGAAUUUCGGUCAAGGAUGAGCUCGCGGCCUAUCAGCUAGUUGGUGAGGUAAUGGCUCACCAAGGCGAGGACGGGUAGCCGGCCGGAAAGGGUGACCGGCCACACUGGAACUGAGACACGGUCCAGUCUCCUACGGGAGGCAGCAGUGGGGAAUAUUGCACAAUGGGCGAAAGCCUGAUGCAGCAACGCCGCGUGAGGGAUGAAGGCAUUCGGGUUGUAAACCUCUUUUAGCAGGGAAGAAGCGAAAGUGACGGUACCUGCAGAAAGAGCACCGGCUAACUACGUGCCAGCAGCCGCCGUAA
rnacentral:rRNA from 1 species